rnacentral:lncRNA from 1 species
AAGUCAACUGAUGCCAUGGGUCAUUCCCUUGUUUACGAAACUGGGCUAUGAAAAGCAUCGAGAAAGAAAGGAAUAGGACCUAGGGCGUGAAAUAGCUCCUAAAAAGAAUUUCUCUCAGGGUGUUCACUUCUACUAGUCUCGCCUACAACGGAUUCAAUAGCAGUGGAUCUUGUGUUGACCGCGUCUUCCUUCAACAGCGGGGAUAAGAGAAGAGCUAAUGCUCUUACUAUAGCACCAACCAAAAGCAGAUUCUCGGCAUCUCAGAGCAGAAUGGAUUCCCUUGCUUUCGGGCGAUUCCUCUUUGAGCCCGGCCACUCUUUUCAUUUACUAUCGAGAACUGGAUUCGUGAAAAUAGAGGAUCUCCACUUGACUUAUAGCUGCGUAAGAAAAGCUAGUCAAAGGAGCUGGAUGAGAUCCCGCCUCAGAUGUACUCUUUUGAGGGAUGAUGAAUCCCCUUUUUUGAGGAACUGAGCAAGAAAAGGGGCCAUGAGAACUACAUUUUGGUCUGAUACCAAAACCAUUUCCAUCAUUACCAUAACCAAACUUGAAGCUGUAGUUACGGAUUAACUUGACGCUGCAGUAGUUACGGAUCUGGCUAGGUUAUGUAGGCGCUCGUCCCCUCUCUGGGAUAUCAAUUUGAAUGGCGGGCUCGACUU